rnacentral:tRNA from 1 species
UCAGAAGUAUCUCAAUGGUAGAGAACUCGACUGUUAAUCGAGGGGUUGUGGGUUCGAGUCCCACCUUCUGAGCCA